UCUGUGGGAUGUAAGGUUUAUCAGCCAUU
rnacentral:piRNA from 1 species